UACGUAGGGUGCAAGCGUUGUCCGGAUUUAUUGGGUUUAAAGGGUGCGUAGGCGGUCUAUUAAGUCAGUGGUGAAAUCCAACAGCUCAACUGUUGAUGUGCCAAUGAUACUGAUGGACUUGAGUACAGACGAGGUAGGCGGAAUUGACAGUGUAGCGGUGAAAUGCAUAGAUAUUGUCAAGAACACCGAUAGCGAAGGCAGCUUGCUAGCCUGUAACUGACGCUGAGGCACGAAAGUAUGGGGAUCAAACAGGAUUAGAAACCCCGGUAGUCC
rnacentral:rRNA from 1 species